rnacentral:misc_RNA from 1 species
GAUGAAGAACGUAGCGAAAUGCGAUACGUAAUGUGAAUUGCAAAUUCAGUGAAUCAUCGAGUCUUUGAACGCACAUUGCGCCCCCUGGUAUUCCGGGGGGCAUGCCUGUCCGAGCGUCAUUGCUGCCCUCAAGCACGGCUUGUGUGUUGGGCCCCGUCCUCCGACCCCGGGGGACGGGCCCGAAAGGCAGCGGCGGCACCGCGUCCGGUCCUCGAGCGUAUGGGGCUUUGUCACCCGCUCUGUAGGCCCGGCCGGCGCUUGCCGAUCAACCCAAAUUUUUAUCCAGGUUGACCUCGGAUCAGGUAGGGAUACCCGCUGAACUUAAGCAUAUCAAUAAGCGGAGG